rnacentral:rRNA from 1 species
CCUACGGGAGGCAGCAGUGAGGAAUAUUGGUCAAUGGGCGAGAGCCUGAACCAGCCAAGUCGCGUGAAGGAUGACGGCCCUACGGGUUGUAAACUUCUUUUGUCCGGGAACAAUUGAGUCCACGUGUGGUCUUAGCGAGAGUACCUGAAGAAAAAGCAUCGGCUAACUCCGUGCCAGCAGCCGCGGUAAUACGGAGGAUGCGAGCGUUAUCCGGAUUUAUUGGGUUUAAAGGGUGCGUAGGCGGAAUAUCAAGUCGGCGGUAAAAAUUCGGGGCUAAACCCCGUCGUGCCGUUGAAACUGGUGUGCUUGAGUGGGCGGGAAGUAGGCGGAAUGCGUGGUGUAGCGGUGAAAUGCAUAGAUAUCACGCAGAACUCCGAUUGCGAAGGCAGCAUGCCGGCGCCCAACUGACGCUGAAGCACGAAAGCGUGGGUAUCGAACAGGAUUAGAUACCCUGGUAGUC